AACCGCUUCUUUCCUGAGUAGAACCGAACUUCUAAACGGUCUUUUUCUUAACUUUCAGUUGGAAUAAUCUAAAGUAAAUGAUAUAACUAAUUAAAAUUAACGUCUGCACCCAAUUUAAAAAUAAGCCCUAAAAGAUAGGGUGUAGUAUUCUGAGCAAAAUAACUUUCUGAGUAACCCCUGAAAUAAUCGUAAUAACAUCACUCAUGAUUAAGACCACCAUCAACGGGCACAUAGAUGAGCAAGACGUACCCCUAUACAGAAGCACAGCUAUAUGCUACCAUGCUAUACUUACGACGUGUGGAUGACACACGAUUCACGGGAUACUUGAUACUCAACAUAGUCUCCGAUAUAGUCUCUACGCCAAUUAUUUCUUACCAUUCAAUUACGCAAAGCAAGCUUCUACAAUUUGCUUACUGCCACUUUAAGUGCGAAUUCACAACUUCGAAAUCAAUGAAGACCCAGCUGAGAAGACAUUUGAAUCUUUCAUCGAUUUAGGGGAAAAUUUAUAUGGUUUUCCCUCCCUUUAUCGGGAAGUUUGUUGUAAAUCAGCAUGUUUUUACAGAUUUGAAAGCUUACAGUAACGUCAAUCUAGUUUUUAAAAAAGCCCUUGUAAAACCAAAACCCCCUAUAGUUCUGGUAAAGAUGUUACGCGAUUGUGGAGUUCAAGUCCAAGAAGAUUGAGAUUUCAUCUCAAGAAACGGCGUUUCGGUUCACCAGAGCACCGAUUCUCGGCUGUCAACAUUGUUGAGUAUGCUUUAGAAAUGAUUGGAUCGUUGAGUCGAUCGUAUUCGUUAUGAACACGAUAACGACGGCUUGCACAGCGAAUGUUACGUAAGAAUUUUUUUAACAGCUCACUUAAACUUUCAGUUUGAUUCUGCCAAUAAACUGACACCGCAUUA